rnacentral:lncRNA from 1 species
UGUUUCAGACCUUCAACCAUCCAUUGCCUCAAGCAACUUUAAUCGCUUGAUAUAACGUUUACAUCUCCCUAGUUUUGGCUUCUAUCGUGUUCAUUAUCUUGCCGUCUCUUAGUGUUUGUGAAAAAUGCCUGCAGUCUAUAAUGAGCCUGAUACAUGUGAUAAUGCUUGAUUUGGAUUGAAAGACACUAUGCCAAACUUCAGCUGUUGUAUGUUGAGUAACAUAGGCCUUGAUUGGUUCAAAGUAUGUAAUUCUUGUAUUUGAUAAUAGUGGACACUCCAGGAGAAAAUGAGAGAUAUUUUCCUCAGAAAGAUUACAUAGUUGGCAGACUGGUGAAGGUGAUUGAUUAAAUUUCGCUCGAUCAGAAUUCAGUAUAAUAAAUGUUCCUGAAACUAUUCUAGCUUUUAUAAUAGCUUUCCGAACUUCGGCAAAAUAUAGUCCACACUGAGUGGUUUUUGCCUAUAAGAAGAUGUUCAGUUUCCAUAUAUUUUAGAGUUGAUUUAGAUUCGGCAUCGUCCCUUAAUGUAUUUUGCCAGUAUGUGUUCAGAUGCUUCGUUACAAGAG